rnacentral:snRNA from 1 species
GUGCUCACUUUGGCAGCACAUAUACCAAAAUUGGAAAGAUAUAGAGCUUAGCAUGGCCUGUGCGCAAGGAUGACAUGCAAAUUUGUGAAACGUUUCAAAAUUUU